UUGCUAAGGCUGAUGGCGACCGGCGCACGGGUGAGUAACACGUAUCCAACCUGCCGUCUACUCUUGGCCAGCCUUCUGAAAGGAAGAUUAAUCCAGGAUGGCAUCAUGAGUUCACAUGUCCGCAUGAUUAAAGGUAUUUUCCGGUAGACGAUGGGGAUGCGUUCCAUUAGAUAGUAGGCGGGGUAACGGCCCACCUAGUCAACGAUGGAUAGGGGUUCUGAGAGGAAGGUCCCCCACAUUGGAACUGAGACACGGUCCAAACUCCUACGGGAGGCAGCAGUGAGGAAUAUUGGUCAAUGGGCGAUGGCCUGAACCAGCCAAGUAGCGUGAAGGAUGACUGCCCUAUGGGUUGUAAACUUCUUUUAUAAAGGAAUAAAGUCGGGUAUGCAUACCCGUUUGCAUGUACUUUAUGAAUAAGGAUCGGCUAACUCCGUGCCAGCAGCCGCGGUAAUACGGAGGAUCCGAGCGUUAUCCGGAUUUAUUGGGUUUAAAGGGAGCGUAGAUGGAUGUUUAAGUCAGUUGUGAAAGUUUGCGGCUCAACCGUAAAAUUGCAGUUGAUACUGGAUGUCUUGAGUGCAGUUGAGGCAGGCGGAAUUCGUGGUGUAGCGGUGAAAUGCUUAGAUAUCACGAAGAACUCCGAUUGCGAAGGCAGCCUGCUAAGCUGCAACUGACAUUGAGGCUCG
rnacentral:rRNA from 1 species